CCCAACUAUCCCUAUUAAUCAUUACGUCAAUCUUAGAAACCAACAAAAUAAGACCGAACGUCCUAUUUCAUUAUUCCAUGCUAAUGUAUUCAAGCGUUAGCCUGCUUUAAACACUCUAAUUUUUUCAAAGUAACAGUCCAGUCUCCCCGCAACACCAAAUUAAUGGCAUUACGGUUCAUCAGGAAGGAGGAAUCAGUGAGGCCAGUUCAUACCUGUGGCACGACCAACCUACUGACCCCGAAAUUCAACUACGAGCUUUUUAACUGCAACAACUUUAAUAUACGCUAUUGGAGCUGGAAUUACCGCGGCUGCUGGCACCAGACUUGCCCUCCAA
rnacentral:misc_RNA from 1 species